UACGGGGGGGGGCAAGCGUUGUUCGGAAUUACUGGGCGUAAAGGGCUCGUAGGCGGCCAACUAAGUCAGACGUGAAAUCCCUCGGCUUAACCGGGGAACUGCAUCUGAUACUGGAUGGCUUGAGAUUGGGAGAGGGAUGCGGAAUUUCCAGGUGUAGCGGUGAAAUGCGUAGAUAUCUGGAGGAACACCUGUGGCGAAGGCGGCCCCCUGGUCGGAUACUGACGCUGGAGACGCGAAAAGCGUGGGGGAGCAAACAGG
rnacentral:rRNA from 1 species